rnacentral:lncRNA from 1 species
AUUUUGCAAGAAUCAAAUCAAGGAGCUGACAAUGUGAGAAAGGUACGUCUAUAAAAACUAUAUGGCGACUUUGAAAAGUUACAUAUGCUUGAAUCAAAUAAUAUUUUAGAAUACUUUACAAGAGUUUAACUAUAUACAAUCAAAUAAAGAGAUAUAGGGAGAAGAUAUAAGAGACGUGUGGUAGAGCAGAUCCUACGCUCACUGCAAAAAAAGUUCCAUUUUGU